rnacentral:lncRNA from 1 species
AGAGCAGACCAAACGCCAAUGCAGAAGGCUCAAGAAAGAGGCAAACAGACUAGCCACUGCUCCAGGAUGACUGUGGCUCUUUAUGAGUGAAGAGAAAGGGUGGAGACUGAAGACAGAACUGGGGACAGUGACAGGCUUGGGGAAGAACAGCUGAUUCAGCAGUCCCAAGCAGUUUGAUGGGUCCACGUGCCAGCAAGAUAGAGAUACUCAUCAGGAAGUUGGCCAUGCAAGUUUGAAAUUUGAGAGAAGAAUCACAAAAAUGCAAAGGCUGUGCUCAAAUAAAAAUGAACUCCUUUGGUAAA